UGGGGAAUAUUGCACAAUGGGCGCAAGCCUGAUGCAGCCAUGCCGCGUGUGUGAAGAAGGCCUUCGGGUUGUAAAGCACUUUCAGCGGGGAGGAAGGCGUUAAGGUUAAUAACCUUGGCGAUUGACGUUACCCGCAGAAGAAGCACCGGCUAACUCCGUGCCAGCAGCCGCGGUAAUACGGAGGGUGCAAGCGUUAAUCGGAAUUACUGGGCGUAAAGCGCACGCAGGCGGUCUGUCAAGUCGGAUGUGAAAUCCCCGGGCUCAACCUGGGAACUGCAUUCGAAACUGGCAGGCUAGAGUCUUGUAGAGGGGGGUAGAAUUCCAGGUGUAGCGGUGAAAUGCGUAGAGCUCUGGAGGAAUAACGGUGGCGAAGGCGGCCCCCUGGACAAAGACUGACGCUCAGGUGCGAAAGCGUGGGGAGCAAACAGG
rnacentral:rRNA from 1 species